rnacentral:rRNA from 1 species
AGUGAACGCUGGCGGUAGGCCUAACACAUGCAAGUCGAACGGCAGCACAGUAAGAGCUUGCUCUUACGGGUGGCGAGUGGCGGACGGGUGAGGGAUACAUCGGAAUCUACUUUUUCGUGGGGGAUAACGUAGGGAAACUUACGCUAAUACCGCAUACGACCUACGGGUGAAAGCAGGGGAUCUUCGGACCUUGCGCGAUUGAGUGAGCCGAUGUCGGAUUAGCUAGUUGGCGGGGUAAAGGCCCACCAAGGCGACGAUCCGUAGCUGGUCUGAGAGGAUGAUCAGCCACACUGGAACUGAGACACGGUCCAGACUCCUACGGGAGGCAGCAGUGGGGAAUAUUGGACAAUGGGCGCAAGCCUGAUCCAGCCAUACCGCGUGGGUGAAGAAGGCCUUCGGGUUGUAAAGCCCUUUUGUUGGGAAAGAAAAGCAGCAGGUUAAUACCCCGCUGUUCUGACGGUACCCAAAGAAUAAGCACCGGCUAACUUCGUG